AGUGAACGCUGGCGGUAGGCCUAACACAUGCAAGUCGAACGGCAGCACAGUAAGAGCUUGCUCUUACGGGUGGCGAGUGGCGGACGGGUGAGGAAUACAUCGGAAUCUACUUUUUCGUGGGGGAUAACGUAGGGAAACUUACGCUAAUACCGCAUACGACCUACGGGUGAAAGCAGGGGAUCUUCGGACCUUGCGCGAUUGAAUGAGCCGAUGUCGGAUUAGCUAGUUGGCGGGGUAAAGGCCCACCAAGGCGACGAUCCGUAGCUGGUCUGAGAGGAUGAUCAGCCAAACUGGAAUUGAGAAACGGUCCAGACUCCUACGGGAGGCAGCAGUGGGGAAUAUUGGAAAAUGGGCGCAAGCCUGAUCCAGCCAUACCGCGUGGGUGAAGAAGGCCUUCGGGUUGUAAAACCCUUUUGUUGGGAAAGAAAAGCAGCAGGUUAAUACCCCGCUGUUCUGACGGUACCCAAAGAAUAAGCACCGGCUAACUUCGU
rnacentral:rRNA from 1 species